AGGAGAGGAAAGGUCUUGAGGGAGCAGCACCCUUGCCUGAUGGGUGCCCAAAGCCAGGGGCAGGUGGAGGUGAGAGAAGGACAAGCUCUGCAAACGUUGCAGAAGCGCUCUGUCCAUGGAGAAGGCACAGGACUUCCACGUGGGAAGCAGCUUACUCCUGCUGAGAACUUUGGGGAGACAGAGUGGAGCAGCCAUCUCAGACCUGAGCGGCUAAGGAGCUGGGUCCCCCUCUGUCGCACUGUGCAGAGCUGCUGGACUUUGCAGUAAGCAGCCUUCAGGUCUAAAGGCUCCACAUUGUAAGGAAGCCCAGUCACAUGGACAGACCAUAUGGGUCUAGUUGGCUGCCCCAGCCAAGGUUUCGGCCAACAGCCAAGAUUACCCACAGCCACGUGUAUGAAUGAGCCUUCAAAUGAGUCCAGCACCCAGCAGAAUAAUGUCCCCUCCCAUCUCACAAAGAUCUCCAUGCCCUAAUUCCUGGAACCUGUGAAUCUGCUACAUCACAUGGCAAGCAGAGCUGGCAGAUGGAAUUUAGGGUGUGGAGCUUGAGGUGGGGAGGGCAGCCUGGAUUACACAGGUGGGCCCCAUCUAAGCACAUGAGCCCUUAUACAAACAAAGAACAUUUCCUCAGCUGCCAGACAGAUAGCAAACAGAAUUGGAGGGACAGAGAGAUGUAAUCAGAAAGGGCAGAAGAGACUUAAAAGGAAGAGAGGCUCGACCUGCUGUGGCUACCUUUGAAAAUGAAGGAAUGGGGCUCCAAGCCAAGGGAUGCAGGCUGCCUCUUCAUUGGAGUACUGUCAGCAAGAAAACAGCCCAGCAAUUGCAAGGAAAUUAAUUUUCCCAACAGUCUGAAUGAGCAAGAAAAUGGACUGUCCCCUGCCAUGCUCUGAGUUCAGCCUUGUGAGACUCUAAGCAGAUACCCACUCAAGCCCCCAGGACUUCCAACCCGUAACAAUUGUAAGAUAAUAAACUGGGACAGUUUUA
rnacentral:lncRNA from 1 species